GGUCUUUUGUGAUUCCAUACAAAUUUUAUGAUUAUUUUUUCUAUAUCUGUGAAAAAUUCACUGGUAUUUUGAGAGAGAUGACAUUGAAUCUGUAGUUCCCUUUCAGUAGUAUGGACAUCUUGGCAAUAUUAAUUAUUCUAAUCCAGAAACACAGAAUAUCUUUCCAUUUAUUUGUGCCUUUUUCAGUUUGUCUUAUAGUUUUCAGUAUACAGAAUGUUUGCCUUUUUGGUUAAAUGUAUUCCUUAGUAUUUAAUUAAGAUUAAACACUGAAUAUAAAGAAAAAAGUUAAGACCUAGCAAAAAAAUAUGUCAAUUUCAAUUCAUGCACAAUAAGAAUUCCAGAAGGAGAAAUCAGUUGGAGGCAAGAAAAUAUAUUGUUAAUGUAAAAAAAU
rnacentral:lncRNA from 1 species